AUAUGUAUUUGUUCCUCUAGCGCCAUUGAGCUACUCUCCGUAGCCUCUGAGCCCUCCUCAUCAGGGAUGGUGCACUCAAGGAUAAAGUCCAUCAAGACCUGAGCUUUGAUUGAAGGCCUUGGGCAAAACUUAAUGUCGAACUCAGAGAGUUGUAAGGCCCAUUUUGCAACAUGUCCCGACAUAUCCAGACGGUGGAGGAUUGCCUUGAUCGGUAGAUUCAUGAACAGUACUAUCGUAUUGUUAGAUGUGUGCCAUAGAUGCUAGAUCGGCUGACACAUUCCUGUAC
rnacentral:lncRNA from 1 species